rnacentral:tRNA from 1 species
AGUUAAUUAACUAUAAAAAAGUGUAUAUUUUGAAAAUAUAAAAAAGAAUAAUAUUCUAUUAACUU